rnacentral:rRNA from 1 species
AACGAUGAUGCUCCAGCUUGCUGGGGUGGAUUAGUGGCGAACGGGUGAGUAACACGUGAGUAACCUGCCCCUUCUUCGGGAUAAGCUUGGGAAACUGGGUCUAAUACUGGAUAUUCUGCAAUUGUCGCAUGGUGGUUGUGGGAAAGAUUUUUGGUGGGGGAUGGACUCGCGGCCUAUCAGCUUGUUGGUGGGGUGAUGGCCUACCAAGGCGUCGACGGGUAGCCGGCCUGAGAGGGUGACCGGCCACACUGGGACUGAGAUACGGCCCAGACUCC